UGGCUGCGCCGGCUGUUGCCAGCGCUGGAAAGGGCCGGGGAGGUUGGGGCAGCCUCGGCUGCGCCCACUUUCGGGGUCGAUGGCCCCGUCUGCUGUGUUGACGGAGCAGCGCUAGCUGCAACCGCCACGGGGGCAGAUGGCGUAACUGCCGACUCACUGCCUGUGGGUCAGACAGCCGCCGGAUGACGUUGUGGCGCUGCCCCCUUACGCACCACAUCGGCAAAGCUGCUCUUAGACAGGACGGGCAGGACCGCGAGUAUGCGGCAUGCUCGCCAUCGCAGUUGACACUAUGUGGAGUGUUCUGGCAUGUUUCGGAGGAAUGUUCUUUGUCACUGCACUUGGCACAAGUCAGCCGGCCUCGACAGUUCUGUGAACUAUGGCCGAAACUUUGGCACUUAAAGCAUCUGAGAGGAUUCGGAACGUAUGGCCGAACACGAAGUUUAAUAUAACCGGCCUCGAUGGAUUCGGCAAGGACACUUGAGCCAAAGAUUUACUGUGCUUAGGCGGCUCUAAUGGCUGGACAGAUGCGCCCACGGCGAGCCAUUUCUCGGACGAGUUCUCGCCGUCGCUCGUCGAAGGCUGCCAGUUACUCGAGGGAACACACGGUGCGUGGCCGUCCCAUCUGUGUUGCGGGUACGAACUGAACCCAAACAAAGCCGGCGUACCUCUCGCGCAAUACUUUCACGACAUUUCCCUCCCCGGCGGAAGCGAAAUGGCUCUGAUUAGUAGCUCGCUUGGCGUAAGCGCGCCUACGCAACG